rnacentral:rRNA from 1 species
CCAAUAGCGUAUAUUAAAGUUGUUGCAGUUAAAAAGCUCGUAGUUGAAUUUCGGGAUCAAUAUGUCGGUCGUGCCUCGGUACGUACUGGCAUCAUUGGUUUCUCCCUUCUGAAGAACCAUGAUGUCAUUAAUUUGGUGUCGUGGGGAAUCAGGACUGUUACUUUGAAAAAAUUAGAGUGUUUAAAGCAGGCUUACGCUUGAAUACAUUAGCAUGGAAUAAUGAAAUAGGACGUUUGAUUCUAUUUUGUUGGUUUCUAGGAUCGACGUAAUGAUUAAUAGGGAUAGUUGGGGGCAUUAGUAUUCAAUUGUCAGAGGUGAAAUUCUUGGAUUUAUUGAAGACUAACUACUGCGAAAGCAUUUGCCAAGGAUGUUUUCAUUAAUCAAGAACGAAAGUUAGGGGAUCGAAGACGAUCAGAUACCGUCGUAGUCUUAACCAUAAACUAUGCCGACUAGGGAUCGGAUGAUGUUAAUUUUUUAAUGACUCAUUCGGCGCCUUACG